UGGGUAAUAUUGGACAAUGGGCGCAAGCCUGAUCCAGCCAUGCCGCGUGAGUGAUGAAGGCCUUAGGGUUGUAAAGCUCUUUCAGUAGGGAAGAUAAUGACGGUACCUACAGAAGAAGCCCCGGCUAACUUCGUGCCAGCAGCCGCGGUAAUACGAAGGGGGCUAGCGUUGUUCGGAUUUACUGGGCGUAAAGCGCACGUAGGCGGAUUGGUCAGUUAGGGGUGAAAUCCUGGAGCUCAACUCCAGAACUGCCCUUAAUACUGCCAGUCUAGAGUCCGGAAGAGGUAAGUGGAACUCCUAGUGUAGAGGUGGAAUUCGUAGAUAUUAGGAAGAACACCAGUGGCGAAGGCGGCUUACUGGUCCGGCACUGACGCUGAGGUGCGAAAGCGUGGGGAGCAAACA
rnacentral:rRNA from 1 species